CAAUGCCUCCCAAAGAAACGGUGCUGCAGGAUGAUAUGGUAUGGAAUUGUUCAUUUAGUCCGCUUCAAAACGAGACACUAAAGACAAAUCUCGCACCAAAAACUGGAUGAAACUAACUGAUGACACAAAUCUGUGGGGUCUGGAGUUACCAAUCAUUUUUGUGGGGGUGGAAGGUAUGUCACACCAGAGUACAGUAUUAGCAGAAUUAGAUAUUUUCAAACCCCUGUAAAUACCAUCCCCCUCACCCAUGCUGUCAUUUUGGACUAGAGGACGUGUGAGCUGUGCAUGCGAGGCUGUGUAAUCUGCCUCUGCCAGCCUGCCAAGUGGAGCUAGAAUGGGCCAGGCUUUUUGAAGGGGGCCGGUGCUGGAAAAAGAGGGGGGCGUAGGGUUGAGGCUAAUCCGCCUGCGCCACACGCCGAGUCACCAGCACCCUGCUAGUUGCACCACGUAGCCUAUGCUGUCCUGGGUCUCCCGAGGCGCUACAAGGCCCGGUGAAUGCUAUCAACACAGACGACACGUUGGCUCCCUUCCCCCUCAAGAGGGGAUUACUGAACUGUCAAUGAAGGAACCAGGGGGAGGUUCUAGAGUGGGAGAAACAGUGGCAAAAGGUGUACGAUCCACCAACAGCAGCUACUUUCUCUGCAAGGAAGAGGCCGUGGGUGAAGUUGACGUUUCAUUCAAAGGCAGCAAGGAAAUUGCCGCAAAAACAACACGAGGAGCACCAGUGGCGAAAAAGAAGGAGGAGAUGGUUUAAAAAGCAUCCAUCACGUUUCAAGUGUAGCCUAAGGACAUUUUCCAGCCCUCGAGGAAAAUGAACACAGCGCCAUUGUUAUGAGACACGCUCACUCUUCAACAUCCUGAAAGUACUUACAUCCUCUCAUCUGCCCACUCAUAUGCAGCAUUGUAGCAGUCGCUAACAAAAUGAAGCAAUCGGAAGUGACUCUUUGUGCUUUGAGGUUCCACGAGUUCAACAUCAGUUUUCCAACUUUUCCAGAGCAGAACCUACUGACAGUUUCUGUCCAUACAUUUCAA